rnacentral:rRNA from 1 species
UACGAAGGGUGCAAGCGUUACUCGGAAUUACUGGGCGUAAAGCGUGCGUAGGUGGUUUGUUAAGUCUGUUGUGAAAGCCCCGGGCUUAACCUGGGAACUGCAUUGGUGACUGGCAGGCUUUGAGUGUGGCAGAGGGAGGUAGAAUUCCACGUGUAGCAGUGAAAUGCGUAGAGAUGUGGAGGAAUACCGAUGGCGAAGGCAGCCUCCUGGGCCAACACUGACGCUCAUGCACGAAAGCGUGGGGAGCAAACAGG